rnacentral:rRNA from 1 species
GAUGAACGCUGGCGGCGUGCCUAAUACAUGCAAGUAGAACGCUGAAGGAGGAGCUUGCUUCUCUGGAUGAGUUGCGAACGGGUGAGUAACGCGUAGGUAACCUGCCCGGUAGCGGGGGAUAACUAUUGGAAACGAUAGCUAAUACCGCAUAAGAGAAGAUGUUCCAUGACAUUUGCUUAAAAGGUGCAAUUGUGUCACUACUAGAUGGAGCGGCGUGGUAUUAGUUAGUUGGUGGGUUAAUGGCCUACCAAGGCGACGAUGCGUCGCGGACCGGGGAGGGGGAUCGGCCACCUUGGAACUGGAAACCGGCCAGGCUCCUUACGGGAGGAAGCAUAGGGGAAUUUUGGCCAAUGGGCGAAAGCCUGACGGACAAAGGCGGGGUGGUGGAGGAAGGUCUCCGGUUGUUAAACCCCGUUUUUUGGGAAAGACGAGUGGGAGAAUGAAACGUUCACACUGUGACGGUAUCUUACCAGAAAGCAACGGCUAACUACGUG